rnacentral:lncRNA from 1 species
UUGAGCUAAGCAACCUCCGUAGCUGGAAUCAAGGCUUCACGGUGCAUCAAAGCCCUAGGACCUAGACCUCCGAUUCCGACUGGAGCCGCCAUACGAGUUGCACGCGCCGCCCCAGGCGAGUGGACCACUAUAGAUCCGUAGCUCACGGUUGCCGGAAAUCGUCAGGACUUCUUGACUAGGUAAUCCCGUGAUUUCUCUUUAGCUGGAGCCUCUAGUUUGAGUAGAGUGAACCCUAACAACUUCUUGUUUAAUUUGGAGCAUGAGGAAUCUGCGUUUUUGAAGAUUUUGGAGAAGAAGGAAUUGUUGGGUCAGUUUCGAUUGAAAUGGGAUAUGGGAUCAUAAUGGAUGAAGAUGGUGGGAAUGCAGCUAUGGUCACUCGAAUCCCCAUUUGGAAAAGAAGAAACGGUAAGUGUUAGUCCCUGCCAAACCGUGGGUUUUGGUAUGGUGAUUGUAAAAUUCUAGAGAUUGUUAUCGAAUGGAAUGAAAAGUUGGUAUGCUACUUGAAUGGUUAAUGCUCCUUUGAGUGAUCGAUUGUUGUGAAUUUAGCUAAAAUGUGGACAAGUAUGAAAUGGCUAAAUGUGUGGAGAAGAUUAGUGUUGUUAGUUAAAUUGAUGACGGAGUUUGAAUUUUGUCAUAUUGAAAAGUAAAUGGUUGUUGUGAA